UCCAGAGGGGGCGAUCGUUGUUCGGAAUUACUGGGCGUAAAGGGCGCGUAGGCGGCCUCUUAAGUCAGACGUGAAAUCCCCCGGCUCAACCGGGGAACUGCGUCUGAGACUGGGAGGCUCGAAUCCGGGAGAGGGAUGUGGAAUUCCAGGUGUAGCGGUGAAAUGCGUAGAUAUCUGGAGGAACACCGGUGGCGAAGGCGGCAUCCUGGACCGGCAUUGACGCUGAGGCGCGAAAGCCAGGGGAGAAAACGGG
rnacentral:rRNA from 1 species